CUUAAGGCAGAUCUUUGUGUAUUAAUUGAAUAGUAUGAAGCAGAAUUGAGAUUCACCUUACAACAGCACACCACCACCAUGUCCUUUUCUUCCUCACCUACAACCAUGGCAGCACCUCUUCAUCACUAAGUUUCUCCUUCACGCAGGUUGGAGCAAAAAGCCUUGGAAUGUUCAAGUUUGGAACUCAAAGUUGGAGCAACUGAGUGUGGACAAAAAAAGAAGGAGAAUCGGCGAAGGCCCUAACAGAUGUGUCUCCGAGGAGCUGUUGAUUGCUGCAAGAAGGUGAUUGGACUUAUUGACGAUGAGACUUCCUUGGAGCGAUUGAACCAACCGAAGACUUGUGGAAGUAAUAGUUAGAUGUAAGGCUAGAGCCUUGGGUAGAGAAGCUUACCGUCAUUGGUUGAAGC